rnacentral:tRNA from 1 species
AAAAGUGUAGUUAAAUAAUAACAAAGUCAUGUCAAGACUCAAUUGCAACAAGCCUCUUUUU